rnacentral:misc_RNA from 1 species
UGUGUGUGUGUGUGUGUGUGUAGCGUGUUCUGGGGUGUGAUAAUCAUUUAAAGAGCCAAAAAGUUUCAUUUACUGUUAGUUUACUAAUUUAAUAGGAGCAAAACACGUUCUCAUUUAUAAUAUGCAAUUAUGCAUUAUCAUAGUUGUGUUUCUAGUCAUGAAGAGACUUGAUGUUUAUUGCUGCCAUACGUGCAUCUCUGGGAUUUUCUCUUUGUACUACAUAUAAUCAAGCACAUGCAAUAUGUGUCCAUCUAAUUGACACAUUGGAAUUAUCAUCAUAAAUAUCACCAUUAUUGGAAUGUUUCCAUUUGUAAAAUUUAGUUAUACUCAAUAAACUAAGGUGGGGACUCUACUGUUUCACCUUGAGAAAAUGUGACAUAAAGCUAGGAGUUUCAUGUUUGUUAGAUAGCUCUUUAUACAUCUCAGCCACUAAAUGAAUUGCUGUUGUUGUAACAGCUGUUAAAGUUGAUGAGUUGUUUGUGGACAAUGAAUGCUUUUGGUAAUUUUAGUCUCCUAUACCUCUGCCCCAGUAUGUAUAUGGAUUGUAGUGGUAUAAUUCAUAUUAAGAGGUUUUCUAUUCUAUUUUGUUUUAUUUUUUUCCUUAUCAGGUAGGCUUGAUGCUCAGGGGAA